GGGGGAUAUUGCGCAAUGGGGGAAACCCUGACGCAGCAACGCCGCGUGAAGGAAGAAGGCCUUCGGGUCGUAAACUUUUGUCUUCUGGGACGAAACAUGACGGUACCAGAGGAGGAAGCCACGGCUAACUACGUGCCAGCAGCCGCGGUAAUACGUAGGUGGCGAGCGUUGUCCGGAAUUACUGGGUGUAAAGGGCGUGUAGGCGGGACUGCAAGUCAGAUGUGAAAUACCGGGGCUUAACCCCGGGGCUGCAUUUGAAACUGUGGUUCUUGAGUGCAGAAGAGGAAAGCGGAAUUCCUAGUGUAGCGGUGAAAUGCGUAGAGAUUAGGAGGAACACCAGUGGCGAGGGCGGCUUUCUGGCCUGUAACUGACGCUGAGGCGCGAAAGCGUGGGUAGCGAAC
rnacentral:rRNA from 1 species